rnacentral:rRNA from 1 species
GAUGAACGCUGGCGGCGUGCCUAAUACAUGCAAGUCGAGCGAACGGACGAGAAGCUUGCUUCUCUGAUGUUAGCGGCGGACGGGUGAGUAACACGUGGAUAACCUACCUAUAAGACUGGGAUAACUUCGGGAAACCGGAGCUAAUACCGGAUAAUAUUUUGAACCGCAUGGUUCAAAAGUGAAAGACGGUCUUGCUGUCACUUAUAGAUGGAUCCGCGCUGCAUUAGCUAGUUGGUAAGGUAACGGCUUACCAAGGCAACGAUGCAUAGCCGACCUGAGAGGGUGAUCGGCCACACUGGAACUGAGACACGGUCCAGACUCCUACGGGAGGCAGCAGUAGGGAAUCUUCCGCAAUGGGCGAAAGCCUGACGGAGCAACGCCGCGUGAGUGAUGAAGGUCUUCGGAUCGUAAAACUCUGUUAUUAGGGAAGAACAUAUGUGUAAGUAACUGUGCACAUCUUGACGGUACCUAAUCAGAAAGCCACGGCUAACUACGUGCCAGCAGCCGCGGUAAUACGUAGGUGGCAAGCGUUAUCCGGAAUUUAUGGGCGUAAGCGCGCGUAGCGGUUUUUUAAGUCUGAUGUGAAAGCCCACGGCUCAACCGUGGAGGGUCAUUGGAAACUGGAAAACUUGAGUGCAGAAGAGGAAAGUGGAAUUCCAUGUGUAGCGGUGAAAUGCGCAGAGAUAUGGAGGAACACCAGUGGCGAAGGCGACUUUCUGGUCUGUAACUGACGCUGAUGUGCGAAAGCGUGGGGAUCAAACAGGAUUAGAUACCCUGGUAGUCCACGCCGUAAACGAUGAGUGCUAAGUGUUAGGGGGUUUCCGCCCCUUAGUGCUGCAGCUAACGCAUUAAGCACUCCGCCUGGGGAGUACGACCGCAAGGUUGAAACUCAAAGGAAUUGACGGGGACCCGCACAAGCGGUGGAGCAUGUGGUUUAAUUCGAAGCAACGCGAAGAACCUUACCAAAUCUUGACAUCCUUUGACAACUCUAGAGAUAGAGCUUUCCCCUUCGGGGGACAAAGUGACAGGUGGUGCAUGGUUGUCGUCAGCUCGUGUCGUGAGAUGUUGGGUUAAGUCCCGCAACGAGCGCAACCCUUAAGCUUAGUUGCCAUCAUUAAGUUGGGCACUCUAAGUUGACUGCCGGUGACAAACCGGAGGAAGGUGGGGAUGACGUCAAAUCAUCAUGCCCCUUAUGAUUUGGGCUACACACGUGCUACAAUGGACAAUACAAAGGGCAGCGAAACCGCGAGGUCAAGCAAAUCCCAUAAAGUUGUUCUCAGUUCGGAUUGUAGUCUGCAACUCGACUACAUGAAGCUGGAAUCGCUAGUAAUCGUAGAUCAGCAUGCUACGGUGAAUACGUUCCCGGGUCU